CUAGAUGAGGCAAGAGUGAGUGUUAUUACAAAAGUGGUCUUUAAAUAACACUCCCACUUGUCUAAUCUAA
ensembl:miRNA cin-mir-4186 cin-mir-4186